rnacentral:lncRNA from 1 species
GCGGCUAUUCGACCACUUUUUCCUUCCCUUUAUCGGAUUUAGUUCCCCUUUGCUCUUGAGCUUAAUUCAAAUAAAUUUAACUCAUUAAAGUCUCAUUUUGCUAGCUUAUGGCCGAAUAUGACAAGGAGUUUGAUAGGUCAUAUGCCCACCUUUUAGCAUGCAAAUGAUAUCAACACCAAUCCACCUUGGCCGAAUAUCAUCUCCAUGACAUAGUAAAGAUUUGAACCAUGGGCUAUUU